CCUGGUGGCUCAGAGGGUAAAGCGUCUGCCUGCAAUGCAGGAGACCCGGGUUCGAUCCCUAGGUCAGGA
rnacentral:tRNA from 1 species